rnacentral:misc_RNA from 1 species
AAGAGGAUGACGCGUGUGCUACAAA